AUGGCUCUGGACACUGGUGGACACCUUAUCCCUUACCCGGAAGGGGACGCUGACAGACAUGCCUUCCGGGAAGACGCGUCUGCCUCUGCAGCGGGUCUCAGGGUGGUGAACCUUUUCUUUGAAUUCCUAACCUGUGAUUUUACGGUAAGAUGGUAAUUAAAAUACCUAAUUUUAGAGUGAUUUUCUUUUUUAAAAUUCCAUU
rnacentral:lncRNA from 1 species